GUGGCUGUGGCUCAGUGGUAAAGCACUUGCCUAGCACGUGUGAGGCACUGGGUUCAAUCCUCAGCACCACA
rnacentral:tRNA from 1 species